UACGUAGGGGGCAAGCGUUGUCCGGAUUAUUGGGCGUAAAGAGCGUGUAGGCGGUUAGGUAGGUCCGUUGUGAAAACUCGAGGCUCAACCUCGAGACGCCGAUGGAAACCAUCUAACUAGAGUCCGGAAGAGGAGAAUGGAAUUCCUGGUGUAGCGGUGAAAUGCGCAGAUAUCAGGAAGAACACCCGUGGCUAAGGCGGUUCUCUAGUACGGUACUGACGCUGAGACGCGAAGCGUGGGGAGCAAA
rnacentral:rRNA from 1 species